rnacentral:rRNA from 1 species
UACGAAGGGGGCUAGCGUUGUUCGGAAUUACUGGGCGUAAAGCGUGCGCAGGCGGUUUUGUAAGCCAGAUGUGAAAUCCCCGGGCUUAACCUGGGAAUGGCAUUUGGGACUGCAUGGCUGGAGUGUGGCAGAGGAGACUGGAAUUCCCGGUGUAGCAGUGAAAUGCGUAGAUAUCGGGAGGAAUACCGAUGGCGAAGGCAGGUCUCUGGGCUGACACUGACGCUCAUGCACGAAAGCGUGGGGAGCAAACAGG